CGGAAGACCAGCUUCCCACGGGUCGUCAUGGCAUGCUGGUUGGUGAAUGGAUGAACUUGGACAGCGCUGGGAGGCAAGACCGGCAUUGGUGGCUGUGCCAGGAUCUGCGACAGCAGUCGGGGUCGACGGCUAUAUCAGAGAAGCAGGGCGCCGCUGCCAGCUGGGGCAGCGGCUGCGUCAGGGGUUGCCGCCGCUGCGCCGGGGGUAGCAGAGGUGCCCUGGGGCGCCGCAUCGGUAGGGGACGCGAUGCCUGCAGGGGCGGCCGCACGUGGCCGUGCGGAGAGCGCUUGUGGCUGUGCGAGGGACGCUGCCGGGGACACCGCGCCUAUAGGGGUGGCCACACGUGGCCAUGCGGAGAAUGC
rnacentral:lncRNA from 1 species